rnacentral:rRNA from 1 species
CACGUAGGCGGCCAUCUAAGUCAGAUGUGAAAGCCCGGAGCUCAACUCCGGAAGUGCAUUUGAUACUGGAUGGCUUGAGUAUGGGAGAGGGAAGUGGAAUUCCUGGUGUAGAGGUGAAAUUCGUAGAUAUCAGGAGGAACAUCGGUGGCGAAGGCGACUUCCUGGACCAAUACUGACGCUCAGGUGCGAAGGCGUGGGGAGCAAACA